UUGCACGCUGGCGGCAGGCCUCACACCUGCCAGUCGAGCGGAUGAAGGGAGCUUGCUCCUGGAUUCAGCGACGGACGGGUGAGUAAUGCCUAGGAAUCUGCCUGGUAGUGGGGGAUAACGUCCGGAAACGGGCGCUAAUACCGCAUACGUCCUGAGGGAGAAAGUGGGGGAUCUUCGGACCUCACGCUAUCAGAUGAGCCUAGGUCGGAUUAGCUAGUUGGUGGGGUAAAGGCCUACCAAGGCGACGAUCCGUAACUGGUCUGAGAGGAUGAUCAGUCACACUGGAACUGAGACACGGUCCAGACUCCUACGGGAGGCAGCAGUGGGGAAUAUUGGACAAUGGGCGAAAGCCUGAUCCAGCCAUGCCGCGUGUGUGAAGAAGGUCUUCGGAUUGUAAAGCACUUUAAGUUGGGAGGAAGGGCAGUAAGUUAAUACCUUGCUGUUUUGACGUUACCAACAGAAUAAGCACCGGCUAACUUCGUG
rnacentral:rRNA from 1 species